rnacentral:rRNA from 1 species
ACGGAAGGCAGCAGUGGGGGAUAUUGGACAAUGGGGGAAACCCUGAUCCAGCGACGCCGCGUGAGUGAAGAAGUAUUUCGGUAUGUAAAGCUCUAUCAGCAGGGAAGAAAAAAUCAAAAUUGACAGUACCUGACUAAGAAGCCCCGGCUAACUACGUGCCAGCAGCCGCGGUAAUACGUAGGGGGCAAGCGUUAUCCGGAUUUACUGGGUGUAAAGGGAGUGUAGGCGGCGAGCCAAGUCCGAUGUGAAAGCCCAGGGCUUAACCCUGGGACUGCAUUAGAAACUGGUUUGCUAGAGUGUCGGAGGGGUAAGUAGAAUUCCCAGUGUAGCGGUGAAAUGCGUAGAUAUUGGGAAGAAUACCGGCGGCGAAGGCGACUUACUGGACGAUUACUGACGCUGAGGCUCGAAAGCGUGGGGAGCAAACAGGAUUAAAUACCCUGGUA